rnacentral:rRNA from 1 species
UACGGGGGGUGCGAGCGUUGUCCGGAAUCACUGGGCGUAAAGCGCGCGUAGGUGGUGUGUUAAGUCUGCCGGUCAAAUGCCGAGGCUCAACCUCGUUGCACGCCGGGGAUACUGGCACGCUAGAGACAAGUAGAGGCAAGCGGAAUUCCGGGUGUAGCGGUGGAAUGCGUAGAGAUCCGGAAGAACACCGGAGGCGAAGGCGGCUUGCUGGGCUUGGUCUGACGCUGAGGCGCGAAAGCGUGGGGAGCGAACAGG